UAAUAUAAGGUACAUUUUUAGCAAGUUGUGAUAAGUUUCUCAUUAUUUUUCUUUCAUUUGUCAAAGAUUCUGGUGAGCGGAAAAAGAAGCAGACAAGAAUGACAGGAAAGAAUAACUGAUGGGCUUUCUCGUCAUAAAAAAUGUCAGAGUUUUGUGAGAGAACGAAUCAAGGAUUGGACUACAGACAUAAAGGAGAGGAAAACCAGUGCAUUGAUUCUGAUAUCUACGUAGAUGAAGCUUUUAAUCAGAUUAUUCAUAAGUUACCGAAUAAAAAUACUAGAUGGUGGUUGUAUAGAUAACUACCACAAUAUCACCCUCACAACUACUCCGGAAUCUUCUUAUAGCCUAAGUUACUUUGCUAUAUCUGGGAGUCUUAUCAAUGGUAUCUAUAUUUAUAAUAUAGUUGUUUAUUAAAAUAUUUUUUUCAAGUGGGGACCAGAGUUAGUGAGGACUCAUUUAUGUUAAGUUUCGAGGGAUUGAGUAAGAAAAUAGGCGUGGAUAGAUGACAAAUUUGAGGUUUGCUUCAAGUCCCUUACAUGUCAACAAUGACUUCAUAAAAAAAUAAAAUGAUUGAUUCUGGUUUUGCUUUUAUUUAUGUAGGCCUAUAUUGGAAGCUUGUUUGGAAAAAACAUAGCUACUUGGUAGAAUUGAAUUGAAUUUUAUUAAACAUUGCUGAAAAAAAAUGCCUUAAUCCUAGCUAAUUUGUAUUAUUGUCCAAUACUCAGUGGAUCAAGUAGAUGUUUGUUAGACAAAGCAUUAGUUAGUUAAAAGCUAUUUGAUUAGCCUAUUGUAAAUGUAUUCUAAAAGUACCAGUAGAUCACCAAAUUAGGUAGGUUUAGAACCUACUAAUUAUAGAAAACUUUAUGGGUAAUAAUGCAGAUUUAAUUUAUUGAUAGUAGUUGUAGUCGUUUUUAUAGUUAUUGUUUAUCUAUCCAGUAUAAUUUAUCAAUAAAGACAUUUUUCUAUAUUCUA